UGAUGGACAGAGGUUUUCUGUUGUGUAUUGCAUCUAGCUGAACACUUGCAGAUUGAUUAAAAUCUUUCCCUUGGAGAUGACACUGCACAAGAGGCUCCCUGUCUGCUUCUGCUUUGAAGUGCAGCAGUUUAUUUGAGAGCUCCCCUUGACAUUAUGCCUUUACCAUAUUUGAGGCCCCAUCACAGAGACUGUGGAGAAGCACUGCUAGGGGUGGCCACUCAAAGUCUGAACAGGAGAGCAGAAGGUAGUGCUCUAAGCACUAGUGCACUUACCCUUGGGCCGAAGAAGAAUGAGAUGAAAGAGAAAGAAAGAUGGUGAAAGAGAGAAAGCAUUUUAUCUCAGAGUGCAGGUUUGGAACUAUUU